CAAGGAAACACUGGCCUGACUGGGGGGAUAAACAACUAACAACCUCCUCCAUCAUCACUGGUACAUGCAAUCUUCCAAAGUUUUUGUUUUCUGUACUAUCAGGCAACUUUUUAGUUUCACUCUUCUGUGUAGUUUGCUCUGUUAACUCAUAUUCAGAAAGCUGUUUUACUGAAGAAUGGAUCCUUCUGGAUAAAGCAGCUAAUUUGAUUGGAUUCAGUUUUAAGUUGUGCAGCAGACAUUUGUUAACUUGGCACAGACACUGAGACAACAUUUUGGAGUUGAU
rnacentral:lncRNA from 1 species